rnacentral:rRNA from 1 species
UACGUAGGGUGCAAGCGUUAAUCGGAAUUACUGGGCGUAAAGCGUGCGCUAGGCGGUUUUGUAAGUUUGUCGUGAAAUCCCCGGGCUCAACCUGGGGAAUGGCGAUGAAGACUGCAAGGCUAGGAAUCGUGGCAGAGGGGGGUAGAAUUCCACGUGAUAGCAGUGAAAUGCGUAGAGAUGUGGAGGAACACCGAUGGCGAAGGGCAGCCCCC